GAUGAACGCUGGCGGCGUGCCUAAUACAUGCAAGUCGAGCGAAUGGAUUAAGGGCUUGCUCUUAUGAAGUUAGCGGCGGACGGGUGAGUAACACGUGGGUAACCUGCCCAUAAGACUGGGAUAACUCCGGGAAACCGGGGCUAAUACCGGAUAACAUUUUGAACCGCAUGGUUCGAAAUCUAAAGGCGGCUUCGGCUGUCACUUAUGGAUGGACCCGCGUCGCAUUAGCUAGUUGGUGAGGUAACGGCUCACCAAGGCAACGAUGCGUAGCCGACCUGAGAGGGUGAUCGGCCACACUGGGACUGAGACACGGCCCAGACUCCUACGGGAGGCAGCAGUAGGGAAUCUUCCGCAAUGGACGAAAGUCUGACGGAGCAACGCCGCGUGAGUGAUGAAGGCUUUCGGGUCGUAAAACUCUGUUGUUAGGGAAGAACAAGUGCUAGUUGAAUAAGCUGGCACCUUGACGGUACCUAACCAGAAAGCCACGGCUAACUACGUGCCAGCCGCCGCGGUAA
rnacentral:rRNA from 1 species